UCAAAAAUCCCGAAUAUGCCUUUUGUUAAACAAAAAAAUAAAAGCACACAAUUUUAAUUAAAAGAGGGUGAAAUAGUAAAACACCCCUGAUUUAAAAAAGAAAAAAAAGAAAAAAAAGAAAAAGAAAAAGCGAGUCGUGCUAUACAAACCUAAGUCGUGAUGUGCUUCUCUCAAAGAAGAAAAGCUGAAGAACGUGGAGAAAAAUUGCACGGGUUCAGAACCCACGAAGCUGACGGUUUCCACAAUUUUAGAACCCAUCACCACCAUGUUACCUAUAUUUUUCUUCGUCCACUUCAUUGGCACCUUUUCUGCUUCAGAAAUCGAAAUCGAAAUUGCAAGUAAUCACCCAAGAGCACCCGGUGUAAAGACUGGCCAGACUCGAAAAACUUCCUUUCUCAUUCCGCACCACACCUGCUAUCCUGUAACUGAAGAUAAAGGAGGUAGGGUUCACACUCAGAAAGAGAGAAUAUUUAAAUUCGUACAGGAGGGAUAGUGUUCAAGUUAUUUAUCAGUACUUGGACGAGAACAAGUCAUUGAUUCUGAAGAUCGUUCAGAGCCAGAAUACUGGGAAAUUGAGUGAAUGCACAGAUACUUGGACGAGAACAAGUCAUUGAUUCUGAAGAUCGUUGAGAGCCAGAAUACAGGGAAAUUGAGUGAAUGCGUAAAAUGUUGUUUCGCUAGAGCACCAAUGAAGAAAGCAUUUAGAUUUGAUGUGUUUGAUGUCAAUGGUAUGAAUCUCUCUCUCUCUCUCUCUCUCUCUCUCUCUCUCUCUCUCUCUCUCAUAUUUUGGUUUGGGAUUUUUGAUUUUUUUUUUUGUGAAUUAAUUUUGCUGGGUUUAAUGAUAUUAUGAGCUAGCUGCAUUUGACUUGGUGUAAAUCACGUACUUGGUCUGCUUAAGUUCUUUAUGGUAUCUACAAAAAAAAAAAAAAAAAAAAAUUCUUUAUGGUAAUUUAUAAAGUAAGAAUUUUGAUUCUGUUUUCUGGCGUUUUCCUUUGUUUCUCCAGCUAAUAGAUGUAGGGGUUUCCACACUGGCCAUUGAUUUGUGUUGGACUUUUUAGUGGGUAGUUGCCAAAACCUUGGAUUUGGAACUCAGUGGUAUUUGUUUCAACAAUUGAACAUAUUUUUCAUCUCUUGGUAGCAUUUCUUUUUCUACUUUGUUGGUUAAGCCAACCCCAUUGUAGUGAGUAGAAGGAGAUUUACAGUUUCAUAUUGUGUCUUCUAGAUAUUGUUAUCAAAUUAACAAAUUUCCUUAUCUCUCGAUCUCUGCUUUUGCUUACCUAAAUUGCAUUUGCUUCAAGUUGGAAUGAAUGAGGUAUUUUGAGGCUAUAUAAUUAUGUGAUUGUUGUGCUUCAUUCUAAUUACUGUUUAUUUUAUUUUUUUAGUAUGAAUCAUAGUUAAGCAGUCGUCCAAUUGCUUCAGGUAUGAUAUAUGAAAAUUAAUAAGUUUUUCAUAUCUACAUGUCUUAUUGAAACUUUGGAAUUUUAUCUCAACAGAUUCAAUUGUCUGUCACAUCUCUGACUUAUUCACUGAAGCAAAGAAGCAAAGAUAAUUUUCAGGAUUCUCUUCCAACGAUCUAUCCAUUGCUAGAAACCUAAGCGGUGUAGGAAGUUUUGUUUCACGUAUAUUCAACUGGUUCUUCCCUACCUCUUCCCCUUCCUCAUCCUUAUCUUCUCUCUAAUUUGCCAACGACGAUAAAUCAUACCAGAGUUUUUCCUAAUGCCUGUGACGACAAUCCUAUUUUAUUUUGUAAUCAUGUCUUCGAGUAGCUUUACGAGUUCAUAUAUUAAUCAAGAAGAAGAUGGGGUUCAAAUGGAAAAAAAUGAUGGUGAAGCAGUAAGUGAGGAGCCUGAAUUGGAGAAUAGAGAGAAUGUGGAAGAGCCUCGAGUUGGGAUGACUUUUAAUGUGGAAGAGCCUCGAGUUGGGAUGACUUUUUUUUGUUAAUGUAGACAUUUUGCUAUUAGUGUUGUAAUUGAAAAGACCAUAUUGCACUUGAGAUUGAAUGGUUGUAGUUUGAGAUUGGAUUAAGGUUGCUACAACCUCUGAUUGAAUUAGGGUGCCACCCUUUUAGUUUGAGAUUGGACCUGCUGUCUUGUUGCCAGAAAUCAUUUUUAGAGGUUUGUUCA